AUUGAACGCUGGCGGCAUGCCUUACACAUGCAAGUCGAACGGUAACGGGCCUUCGGGUGCCGACGAGUGGCGCGCGGGGGAGUAAUACAUCGGAACGUGCCCGAUCGUGGGGGAUAACGAGGCCAAAGCUGUGCUAAAACAGCAUACGAUUUAUGGAUGAAAGCGGGGGGGCGCAUGGGCCUGCGCGGUCGGAGCGGCCGAUGGCGGAUUAGGUAGUUGGUGUGGUAAAGGCUUACCAAGCCGACGAUCUGUAGCUGGUCUGAGAGGAUGAUCAGCCACACUGGAACUGAGACACGGCCCAGACUCCUACGGGAGGCAGCAGUGGGGAAUUUUGGACAAUGGGCGCAAGCCUGAUCCAGCCAUGCCGCGUGCGGGAUGAAGGCCUUCGGGUUGUAAACUGCUUUUGUACGGGACGAAAAGCAGUCUUUUAAUACAGGAGGGUCUUGACGGUACCGAAAGAAUAAGCACCGGCUAACUACGUG
rnacentral:rRNA from 1 species